rnacentral:lncRNA from 1 species
CUAAAAUGACUGAAAUGACUGAAUCAGCAUGGAAGUAAAACUGUCGUUUCCCGAGACAUCCCAGGAACUGUUUUUCAAACUGAAACCACACCUUUGGUAAUCAUCAAUUUAAGACCAGGUGUGUCUGGCUUGCACUUUUAAUCAGUUUGUUGUGAGGCAAGUCAAGUUGAUCUAUUGUUCUGGUGGUGAGCAGGUCAUUUCUUACAUUUGUGUGCUCUGUAUUGCAGUUAUUUUCUUAUUCAGGGUAAUUACAGUUAAUUGGUGGUGUCACCAUUUGUAAGAUGCACUUAUUUUUCAAUGGAAUUAUUUAAUGACCUGAAUUCACUUAAUCACCUUGUUGGUACUGAUGGGCAAACAAAGCUUCCUGAAGUGUUGAGGCUUUCCAUCCAAUUGUGUUAUACUGUAGGUUCAUUACUCAAGGCUUUGAUCAACAAAGUGUACACUAGUGGCACAUUUAUAGUUGUCCCACCCCAUAGGGAAGUGUAGCCUUUUUGUCUUCUACCAAAACCAAUACAGAACCAAUCGGGUUGUUUGAUGACACAAAGCUUCAGACGUCAUUGAUCAUGUGCUUCUGAUUGUGAUACAGGCAUCAGCACACUGCUUUGAGGUAUGGCAGCAACACAAUUUGAAAAUGGACCACAUGUGGCAGCAAGGCACAUUGGGCCACACCAGCCAGUUCCUCAGCCCAACCCUGGCACAUGGCACCCAGUGUGUGGACCUGAAGGAUCAGGGCCCCAUCUGACCGAUCAUCAGCCCCAUCCUCAUGUGCACCAGUCUCGACCCUACUUCUAUGUGCAGCCCCCUCCUCCUCUCCCCUUUUACCACUACCAGUGGCCCAUGCCCUACAACCCCUGCUCUGGAUUUCCAGGGAUGGCUAAGUUUAAAUAUGUUUUUCUUACCCAGUAGUAUAAAUGCUGUGUAAUGUCCAGUCUGGCGGUAUGAAGUAAUAUUCAUGAUCAGUAGACCACAUUUUAGUUCUGAUCUACUACAUGUUAUUGUACAGCUCAAAAUGUAUACCUCCAUAAUUUGAAGAACCCCAUGCUUUCAGCUGUCAUUUAAAAAAAAAAGUAUUUAAUAUGUUAUUCAAUACAAUUCAAAGAUUCAAUGACACUCAUUCCUUCCAAUUUUGUAUUUAGGUUACGGUAUGCCGGGAAUGGUUAUGCCACCUUUCCUUCCCCACCCAUACAUGGAGGUUCCAGGUUAUGUUCUUCCUCAUUCCCAGCUGCACCCUGCAGAAUACAGACGAUACCAAUUCCCUCCUGCUGCCAUGGCCUACCAGAACAACAGCAGGAUGUCCAGAAUGUUUUACCACAAUGCCACACCCAUAGAGAUGGUUAACUCUGAAGUACAGACUGAACCACCACCUGAAGCGGUGAAGGACGGUCCCCCCUUGGCUAGACCACUGGCUAGGUCAGACUUUGGAAGAGGCACCAACUCUACCACCCCCUCAUCUCUAAGCUCCAAUGCAGAGAAACAGAGCUGCCCAGAAGAAGAACCUAAUUCGCCCAUUGCCUCCAAAACUGGAUUCCAGGGGAUGGUGAGGAGCCAGGGUACUGGCAAAGACCCACCUGCAGGAACAAAGACCAUUCACUCACGUAGCAUCUCUAUAGAGUGGAUGACACAGAAUGGACUGAUGGCGCCAGAAGAUGUGGCACAAGAGUUGUCUGGAAAAGUGUCAGAUGAUCAUCCUAAUCAAAGCCAGAUGUCCUUUUAUAGUCAGGGACCGAAAAAGUUGAAUGAGUCCGUAUGGUCAGUGCAGUCUUUGGCCCCGUAUGUCCCCUCCAAAGAGUUUCUUAUGGAAAACGGCAUUGUGUUGACUGAGAAAGAAGCAGAUCCUCCCAACGUCAGUCAAGACCUCGCAGCCAGUCAGGUCAUAGCUAUAACAGAGAGGAGGAGAAGUCUGAGGUUUUCGCUGACUUUAGAAAAUGUGAAAGAGGCUGAGAAAAUGGCUGAUGUGAAUACUUCUUCAUGCCAAGAGUCCUUCCAUUAUAGCCAAAUACAGCAAAAGGCUAAUGUGUCUGAUUGGUCAGUGCAGUCUUUGGCGCCGUAUGUCCCCUCCACAGAGUGGCUGAUACAGAAUGGGCUUUUGGAUCAUGAAGUGUCGACUGCGAAAGUAUCAGAUGCGAAUGUCAGUCGAGGCCACACAGCUAGUCAGCUGUUGGCUAUAACCGAGAUAAGUCAAAGGUUGUCCCUGUCAUCGAUAGACACACUUCCCCCUUAUGUUCCCUCUUCCUGUUUGCUGGCCGACAUGGAAAAAAUGUACUACAGAAAGCUCCAACUAGGCACUGCAGAGCAUAAGCAAGUUUUCAGCACACCAAUGGAUAAAUUCAUUCCAUCAAAGAGGCUGAACUCUGAAGCUCUUCCCAGGAGGAAAAGGCAGCUCAAACUUAGCCACAACCUACACAUGGAGCUUGUGGAAAAAGCCAAUGUGUAUGGUUCUCCUACAAACCAAAGUGCAAUGAUCCCAAGUGUUGAAGGACCAUUGAAUAGCACUCAAGGGUCAGUGAAACCCAAGGCUCAACAUAGCCCAAAAAAGAAGGCUCUGGAAGUUACAGAGCCCAGGGUUCUGAGCCCUCCCUGCUCUCCAGAUGACCCUGAAACAUAUUCCUCCAAAUGCCUAGCAGGAGACAAAGUGCCUGGCUGCAGUUGUACAGGUCGCUGCAACCAGGAAAUGGAGGCGGCGGUGAUGGAACCUGCCAAACAGACUGGGCCUAUUGUACCCAGUCGACAGGACUGCGAGCAGAUUGCAGAUGUUAGGAUGCCAACGGCUCCCUCAUCAAACGGACACUUUAAGACGUGUGGUCUGAUGUGUUCAAAGCUACAGGAGAGGAACUGCUCCUGUGAGGCACCGAAGCCAAACGGAGUGAGUUUCAGGAAGCGCCCCACAGGCAGACUGAAUAAGAGAAAUGUGGCCAAGAUGGCCGCCGAUCUCACCAAGCCUCAGGCGCAGCAGCAUCUCAUUCCACAGAAUCAGAAAAGACAGAUGGAUUCCAGGAGAGCAAACAAGACCAUGCCUGAUCAUGUAACUUGUGAUAAUGGAUAUGGGCUGAACAACUCAAAGAAACGGGGACGAUGGCAAAAUAGACCACAGGAGCACAGACUAACCCAUCAAACAAGCCUUUUGGACAGCAGAACGCCCAGAGGAAUUGUGACGACGAACCCUGGACUGGGUAUUAUGGCAGAUCUGGUAAAACAAGAGGAGCAAAUGGAAGAAACCCAAGGUACUGACUGACCAGAGACUGUCAACAAAUGACAAUGAAGACAUUUUUAAUAACCCUAUUUAUAGGCCUACAUAAUAAACGUUUUUAUUUUUCAAAUGAACUCCUUGUAUUUUGAAGUGGUGGAGGAAUGUGAAAUUAAAAGUAGAACACGUUAAUGAAAUGGGGCUUAUGGUCAGUAAGGGAAUUUGGAAUUGUCAUGACUGCUCAACUCUAAAGAAUUCACAAAAGCAAGAUUUAUUCACUAUCGAUUGCAAAAGGCACAGCAGAUUCAUUGUCAAGGAGUCCCAAGUGAAGGAU